UACGGGGGGGGGCAAGCGUUGUUCGGAAUUACUGGGCGUAAAGGGCUCGUAGGCGGCCAACUAAGUCGGACGUGAAAUCCCCAGGCUCAACCUGGGAACUGCGUCCGAUACUGGAUGGCUUGAAUCCGGGAGAGGGAUGCAGAAUUCCAGGUGUAGCGGUGAAAUGCGUAGAUAUCAAGAGGAACACCUGAGGUGAAGACGGGUUGCUGGGCCGACACUGACGCUGAGUGCGCGAAAAGCCAGGGGGAGCAAAACGGGG
rnacentral:rRNA from 1 species